UCUUUACGAGGCCACAACUUCCUCCCAGAUAGCGCUAGCUCCGGAAUAACGCCCACCAUCACUUGUUUCCAAGGUUAGCCAGCUAGUCACAGUACACAGGGCCACAUCGGCCGGUGCAUCCUCGGCUCUGCAGAAAUGGCCCUGGUUACUUUACAGCGUUCCCCGACACCGAGCGCGGCUUCCAGCACCAGCACCGCCACCACCAACGCAGGGGAGGAUUUUGGAAGUGAUGAUGAACGACGAAUAAAUCAAAGAGUUAUCUAUUCCUAAUAGUCUUUUGUAAAAACCAUGUUGUCAGCAGCGUCACAGAAAACCCAGUUUUAGUUUUGUAGCUAUAUCUUGAGUUUUUUUUUCUCACCACCUUCAGUUUAGAAAAUUAGUUUUUGGAACUUCAUAUUUAUCAGUUUAGUCAUUUACUAUAAUCUGUCCCCAUAUUCUAAAUGUAUGGCACUGAUGCAGACCACUCUGGCAUAUUUUGCUGUCUGUAAAGAUUUGUGUUUUUACACUUUGAGACUGAGAAGUCAUGUUAGAACUUAAUAGUCAUCAUUUUGUGUCCGCAUGAGAAGGCAUUAGCCUGAAUUUCUGAGUCCCUGAGGCUGUGUUGAAUAAGGUGAAUUUUUUCGCACAAGAGGAACUGAUAGCAACGAACUUUUCUGUUUGUGCAACCUACAAUGCUUAUACCAAUUCAGUCUUGAGUCUUUAAGAUUUGUCACAGCCCGGUUCAUAGGCUGCGACAAAGGUGGGAGACCAGACGAGUCUGCAAUUUUGCCCAAGCACAUUUAUUUACAAAACGAUAAAGAACAACUGAA